GGCCGCGUCGACGGAGAAGAAGCACCGGCUAACUACGUGCCAGCAGCCGCGGUAAUACGUAGGGUGCAAGCGUUGUCCGGAUUUACUGGGCGUAAAGAGCUCGUAGGUGGUGUGUCGCGUCGUCUGUGAAAUUCCGGGGCUUAACUCCGGGCGUGCAGGCGAUACGGGCACGACUAGAGUGCUGUAGGGGUAACUGGAAUUCCUGGUGUAGCGGUGAAAUGCGCAGAUAUCAGGAGGAACACCGAUGGCGAAGGCAGGUUACUGGGCAGUUACUGACGCUGAGGAGCGAAAGCAUGGGGAGCGAACAGGAUUAGAUACCCUGGUAGUCCAUGCUGUAAACGGUGGGUCGACGCGGCC
rnacentral:rRNA from 1 species